rnacentral:lncRNA from 1 species
CAAAGUCCUUAACUUGGAUUUAUUGAAGUGAUUGUACAAAUGAAGGUGUGGUUAUUACUAAACACAUGAACAUGAUCAUAAUCAACCCUUGGUUAAACAGUUUGCGGCUUAACAGUGGUAAAAAUAAAAAAUACUGGACAAAGCAUCAACAUUAUUAAGAAUUAGCAAAUAAACUUACAUACUAGAAAACAAGUUUUAGAAUCAGGUAUAUAAUGGAAACCUCCCAAUCACUUGCUCUGUGCAAUCUGCCACCUAGUCUAAGUGGUCUUACUUUCAGCUUUAUGCUAUUUUGGAUAACAACGAGAGAGUGUAUUCCUAAAUACUGGCUGUAAUUUUAAGAUAAUGACUUUACUGUAAAUUCACUUUGUACCAUGUUUUCAACUAGAUUUAUUUCCUCUGUGGUGUGGAUUCUCUCUCAGAGCUUUCUGAACAUAUUACCCAGGCUGAGAGUGACAAUUACGGAGCUAUAGUCAAGCCUUACAUUUUAGGCAAGAAAUAACUUGCCAAACUUAAUUAUAUAUAUACAACGUGAAAGAUGGGACAACAUGGGAUAAGGAUUUUAGAAUGAAUAAGAAAAGAGAGUAAGUAAAUGUAAAUCGUUUACAUUUCCAUUAUUAUACAAUGGAUACAUAAUUUUUAAAAGUCUAGUUAGAAUUUAAAAAAUGAAUUAAUACCAAAUCUGCUAUCCUCCCUUUUCUAUUAUUUUAAAUAGAUUUUCUUACUCUCACAUAGUGAUAAAAUAUAAGUAUUUAUUUUGAUUCUAUCUGAAAAGCAAAGAUAACUUCACAAAAGCAACUAAAAGGUCUUGGAACAAAUGUUAAAAAUCCUUAGCUGUAGCAAGGUUUUUGCUUAUUAUUCAUACAAAAAGAAGGGAGCCCAUGUUUAGAGUUUCAAGCAAGAUCACCGAGCUUCUACUAUUGAUGUG